GCCAGCCUGCCUCCGCGCACACAUCUGGAGCGGCUUUCUGCACCUGCAGGACAGCUCUGCUGUGAUCUGGGAGACACCCAGGGAGGUUUGCUCCGUCAGCGGAGGAGAAGGGCACAGCGUACAAACGCACAGACACCUUUGCAAAGAACAUCAAGGAGAGGUACAGGAGGACUGCGCAUGAAAUACAUUUGUUGCCUGAAGCUGUUGGAGGUACAUAACUAAAGCUUUUCUGCACUUUCUUGCAAGGAUGUACCACUCUCUUGCUCCCAGUACCAUGAGGGAGACCAGCUGGCCACAUCAUAAAAUCCUGUGUGACCUGCCCCAUCAGCCCUUCCAGAAACAUGCAAACAAGGUAUUCACUGACAGUCAACAAUGGGGGGGGGGGGGGGGAAAUCAACCUCUCCUGGGUUCUGCAAAAGUUGACAGCAGUUUGUAUUUAGAGUCUGCUAAAACCCAAGGCUAAUUGGACAAAAUCAGUGACAUCUUUUAAAAGGUAGGAAGACAGUUGAAUAAUGCUGAUCUCUUUAUCCUGCUGUCUAUAAUUACAGCAAAAAAUAGGAUGUCAAUGCAAAAAUGAACUACAGAAUUGAAAAUCCCUUGGUAAUGACUGCACUCGUAUUCCUUGCCCCCAGUCUGCUGGAGAAGUUUGGCUUCAGCUGCAACAUGCACAUUGUUAACUUGGCAGUGUCACUCGUGCGCCUGUUUCAGUGAACAAUUUUCCCCAACCAUAGUAAGCCUUGGAAAGACAUUCACCAGUGUCUGUGGUGCCUCUGGGGAGCCCCUUGGAAGACAAGGAAAAAAGCCUCAAGAUACUGUAUGUCAGUCUAUCUCUUACUAUAAUUAUCUUUAUUGAUUGGGGAAUCAUUUACAUUUCCAUAUCUCCGAGUUUCCUGUUAGUGCUACUGUUUAGAUGUGUUCAUGGAUCAGAUUUCAAGAGAUUUCAUCCCAGGGAAAAAAAAGCCUUGUUAUGUAUGAACUAUAUGCAAAUCUCAAAAGAGAGGCAAUGGGCUUUAUGGCAAGAAAUAACACCAGGAAUCAUAGCGUUAGUAGAAGCGGCCAUGUCAGCAAAGCCAUUUUUCACAGCAUCCCCAACACACAGUAAUGCACUGCACAGAUUUCCUCUAUUUAGUGGAGCCCAGUAUCUACUCAAAAUAAAGAACAGAAAUGCAUGAGGACACAAAGCCACCAAACCAGAAAUUCUUCUUUCCUGUAGGUUUGCAAUGUGUCCUGAGGGGAUAGCUCUUCUUGUAGACAGGUAUACAGAAAUAUCUGCUUAACUCAGGUUUGGAAGGUUGAGGAUGGCUCCUCAGAGCAUGCUCUCCCCUAAAUACUUGCUUCCUUCUGCUGGCAGAAAUCCUGCUUAUUUUCUUUCUGGUUACCCCCUGUUGUGUAGCUCCGCAUGUCUUCUGCUGCUUGUUGGUAGCAGAACUUAACCAGCUGAGAUGCCCCUUCACCCUAAUGCCCCAGUGCCAUGCAGGAUGCCUUCAGCCUUGGGUCAUCUUUCAAGGAAAGCGGUGUUUGCCCAUCUGUUGGUGGACACUGACUGGGUGUGGGGAAGAAAAAGACUGCAGUGGCAAAAAUACCUGUUCAAAAGGCGUGCAAUGACACUGCCUACAGUGAGAUUUCAGGUGCAGCAUUGGCAGUAAUUAGCUGGUAACUGUUAUCCCUGCAGGAAUUAAAAUGGCAGACUUGCACUGCUUCUCACCAGUGCCCUGCUGGUGGAUGGGAGAGAGGCAAAGAGCAGGAGAGGAUCUUCUGCACCCUCCUGCAUUAUGCAGGCCCUCAGUCACAGCACAU